CCCGCUGAACUUAAGCAUAUCAAUAAGCGGAGGAAAAGAAACUAACAAGGAUUCCCUUAGUAACUGCGAGUGAAGAGGGAAGAGCUCAAAUUUAAAAUCUGGCAGUGUCUUGCUGUCCGAGUUGUAAUCUAGAGAAGUGCUGCCCGUGCUGGACCAUGUACAAGUCUCCUGGAAUGGAGCGUCACAGAGGGUGAGAAUCCCGUCUUUGACAUGGACUACCAGUGCAUUUGUGGUGUGCUCUCAAAGAGUCGAGUUGUUUGGGAAUGCAGCUCUAAAUGGGUGGUAAAUUUCAUCUAAAGCUAAAUAUUGGCCAGAGACCGAUAGCGCACAAGUAGAGUGAUCGAAAGAUGAAAAGCACUUUGGAAAGAGAGUUAAACAGUACGUGAAAUUGUUGAAAGGGAAGCGCUUGCAACCAGACUUGCACGUAGUUAAUCAUCCGGGGUUCUCCCCGGUGCACUUGGCUACGUUCAGGCCAGCAUCGGUUUUGGUGGUUGGAUAAAGGCCUAGGGAAUGUGGCAUCCUUUUGGAUGUGUUAUAGCCCAUUGUCGCAUACGGUGGUUGGGAUUGAGGAACUCAGCAUGCCACAAGGCCGGGUCUUUUUUGACCACGCUCAUGCUUAGGAUGCUGGCAUAAUGGCUUUAAUCGACCCGUCUUGAAACACGG
rnacentral:rRNA from 1 species